GUCGAGCGGUAAGGCCUUUCGGGGUACACGAGCGGCGAACGGGUGAGUAACGCGUGGGUGAUCUGCCCUGCACUUCGGGAUAAGCCUGGGAAACUGGGUCUAAUACCGGAUAUGACCUCCUAUCGCAUGGUGGGUGGUGGAAAGAUUUAUCGGUGCAGGAUGGGCCCGCGGCCUAUCAGCUUGUUGGUGGGGUAAUGGCCUACCAAGGCGACGACGGGUAGCCGACCUGAGAGGGUGACCGGCCACACUGGGACUGAGACACGGCCCAGACUCCUACGGGAGGCAGCAGUGGGGAAUAUUGCACAAUGGGCGAAAGCCUGAUGCAGCGACGCCGCGUGAGGGAUGACGGCCUUCGGGUUGUAAACCUCUUUCAGCAGGGACGAAGCGCAAGUGACGGUACCUGCAGAAGAAGCACCGGCUAACUACGUGCCAGCAGCCGCGGUAAUACGUAGGGUGCAAGCGUUGUCCGGAAUUACUGGGCGUAAAGAGUUCGUAGGCGGUUUGUCGCGUCGUUUGUGAAAACCAGCAGCUCAACUGCUGGCUUGCAGGCGAUACGGGCAGACUUGAGUACUGCAGGGGAGACUGGAAUUCCUGGUGUAGCGGUGAAAUGCGCAGAUAUCAGGAGGAACACCGGUGGCGAAGGCGGGUCUCUGGGCAGUAACUGACGCUGAGGAACGAAAGCGUGGGUAGCGAACAGGAUUAGAUACCCUGGUAGUCCACGC
rnacentral:rRNA from 1 species